UGGCUCAGGAUGAACGCUAGCGGCAGGCUUAACACAUGCAAGUCGAGGGGUAUAGUUCUUCGGAAUUAGAGACCGGCGCACGGGUGCGUAACGCGUAUGCAAUCUACCUUUUACAGAGGGAUAGCCCAGAGAAAUUUGGAUUAAUACCUCAUAGUAUAAUGACUUGGCAUCAAGACAUUAUUAAAGUCACAACGGUAAAAGAUGAGCAUGCGUCCCAUUAGCUAGUUGGUAAGGUAACGGCUUACCAAGGCUACGAUGGGUAGGGGUCCUGAGAGGGAGAUCCCCCACACUGGUACUGAGACACGGACCAGACUCCUACGGGAGGCAGCAGUGAGGAAUAUUGGACAAUGGGCGCAAGCCUGAUCCAGCCAUGCCGCGUGCAGGAUGACGGUCCUAUGGAUUGUAAACUGCUUUUAUACGAGAAGAAACACUACUUCGUGAAGUAGCUUGACGGUAUCGUAAGAAUAAGGAUC
rnacentral:rRNA from 1 species